rnacentral:lncRNA from 1 species
UCCAACACCAGGUGCUGCUCGUGGCCCUGCUCGGACCCGAAAGCGACGGGUUCCUCGCCUGGAGCACGUUCCCCGCCUUCAACCGGCUGCAAGGGGAUCGCCUGCGCGUCCCGCUCGUUUCGGUGCGUGGUUCCCGCCUGGGCCUGGGGCAGAGUCGGGGAUAGGGUGGGGAUGGGGACUGGAAUGAGGAUGUGGGGCGAGCGGCCCCGGCCCUGGGGAGCCCAGCUUUGAUCCUAAGGACUCGCGAACCCGCAAAGGUGGCGUUUCAUCUCCUAGGACCUAGGGAAUCGAUCUUCUGUUUCAUUCUGCUUCUCCCAGAUGUCCCCGGCCCCCAGAAAGUUAGCCAUGCUGUCAGCGUGUGCGCCCUGACACAGAGUCCAGAAGUGUGGGGGCAGCCUGUGUCUGCCCGGGUCACACCCGCGGGCCUGGCCUGAUGGAGGGUGUUUGUGAAAGUCCAUUUAGGAGCCUGGAAGGCCGCGCGCUGUUAAUGUAGAUAACCCCAUUCUGUCGCGGCGUUUCUGCAUCACACCACUAUAGGAACGGAAAGGGCAGCAUUUUUAUGCAGACCUGACCCCUGGAAACCAAGGCGCUGAUUGGUUAAGCGGCCUUCCCAGAACGCGCUGUGGCCGAGUCACGCCUCCCUGGGUUUGUCCCAUUGGAGACUGCGCCAUCCUGAAGCUGUCGGGAUGAAAUGGAAGCAUGUUACUGUCUGUAAUUUAUUUAUUUAUUUUUAAAUUUUUUCACCAGUAGAGCGCUGAGAGGAAUCUGUAAUUUAGUAUUUGCUUUGAGAUAAGCGAAUGCUUCCUUUGUAGUCACUCCUUUUCACUCAUUUUCUGAAAACGUUUUCCUUUAGAAGUAUGAAACUUCUGGUUUUCCUUCUUUCAAAUUCGAAUCUCUUCAGACAUAUCUAAGAUGAUUGCCCUACAAGCCAACCUUGUAUAGCUGAGGAGAAAAGAAAAUCAGACUUGUUCCCAGCAACUAAAUAAAAUUGUUUUUAAAAAUC